rnacentral:rRNA from 1 species
UGCAGUCGACGAAGCUCCGACACUUGAGUUUUCGGACAAGAGUGAAGGAUGACUUAGUGGCGAACGGGUGAAUAAUGCGUGAGCAACCUGCCUUUCAGAGGGGGACAACAGCUGGAAACGGCUGCUAAUACCGCAUAACACAUCGGGGUGGCAUCACCUUGAUGUCAAAGGAGCAAUCCGCUGAGAGACGGGCUCACGUCUGAUUAGCUAGAUGGUGGGGUAACGGCCCACCAUGGCGACGAUCAGUAGCCGGUCUGAGAGGAUGAACGGCCACAUUGGGACUGAGAUACGGCCCAGACUCCUACGGGAGGCAGCAGUGGGGAAUAUUGGGCAAUGGGCGAAAGCCUGACCCAGCAACGCCGCGUGAAGGAAGAAGGCUUUCGGGUUGUAAACUUCUUUUAUCAGGGACGAAGGAUGUGACGGUACCUGAUGAAUAAGCCACGGCUAACUACGUGCCAGCAGCCGCGGUAAUACGUAGGUGGCAAGCGUUGUCCGGAUUUACUGGGUGUAAAGGGCGCGUAGGCGGAGAGACAAGUCAGAUGUGAAAUCUAUGGGCUUAACCCAUAAACUGCAUUUGAAACUAUCUCCCUUGAGUGAUGGAGAGGCAAGCGGAAUUCCUAGUGUAGCGGUGAAAUGCGUAGAU